AUGGACGCGUCCCAGCCAUCGCCCGUUGUCGUGGAAGUCAUGGACGCGCCAACCCCUCAAGCAGAUCUCGUCGCCGGCCAUGUCGCGCCCGUCGCCGUUCAAGCCUCCACCGCCCAUCCCCGCAAGUGCCAGGGUAACAUCAUCCAGAACGGCGCUCUCGCAGCCGCCGCCGCGAAUUUGGUGCAGGACAUCCCCACCCCGCCGGUGAAGAUGCGCAAGGUGGCGGGGGUGAAACGCAAGAAGGCCGCCACAAAAGGUCCUGCGAGCACCGCGCCACCACCUCCGCCGAUCGCCACCCCAAGAGCUCCCACGAGGACGCCCGCCAAAGAAGUUGCUGCCACCGCCCCCGAGGUGUUCGACGGAAUGGGUGCAAGUGCCGAUUUGCAUGAUGCAACUGCCGAGUUUGUGCACAUGUUGGACGACAACACCGUCGACAUUGAUCAAGCCUUGAUCGGUGAAUACGACUACAAUGAGAUGGAUGGUGGUGUGCACGAUCACGGUGAGGAAGAAGAUGAGGUGGAGGUGAUUGGGGAGGGGGUGUUCGACCAAGCUCAAGCAAAAGUGCGCGCGAGAUUGAAGAACUACACGCAAUUGGGAGAUCGAAUCUUGAUCAAGGCUUGGGAAUCUGGGUCUCUUGAUGCGUGCACCGGCACUGACCAAACCGCCAAGCGCCAUUGGAGUGGUUGCUUGGAGCAAGUCUGCAAUGCACCUCCAAAGAAUGGCAUGUAUCACAAGGAGGGAGAUCUUGGAGAGAAAGAAGUAAGCGGCGAUGGGUGGUGGCUUCGGGGGCGGUGGUGGACAAUGAUGAUGAUGGUCAUGAUGGUCAUGGAGGUGGUGGUGGCUUUGGUGGCGGUGGUGGAGAGUGGUGAUGACGAUGAUGGUCAUGAAGAUGGUGGUGGCUUUUUGCAUGAGGUCCGUGAUAUAAGGGGUCUGUUAGAGAUGCUGUUACGGGGGUAUAUGCCUCCUCCAACAUGCAUGUCGUUUGGCCUUUGCAUUGUUCGAUGGAGAUGGGGUGCUCCUCAUUGCGUUGGUGGCUUCGAGAUCUAUGAUUCAUUAUUUUAUCUAUCUAUCUACGGAUUAUCGACAAAUGAGGGGGCGUUUGGUGUUGUACGGAGACGCCCCCGGAGGGCGGAUUUUGCCCAAUCCUUACAACCGUGGAGCCCAGCAGGUGAACUGAAGAAAGAAUACCCAUCCGGGGUGCUUGGGCGUGCUAGAAGUUAUCUGCAGCACUGUCCGCGUGUAGCUAUCGCACUGUAUGAGCGGCAUCGGCGAGCCGGCGAGCCGCUGGCGAGCGCCGAGCCCGGUGGAUGGGCGGCCGAAUCCUUGGUGCUCCCCGACCAAUCCAUGGCUUGGCGUAGCCACCGGUGGUCGGAAACGCCAAAUCCGGCCGCCGCGACGAACAGCCGCCGAUCUGCUCGUUUCCGGUUGUUAGGGCAAACUUUCCCCCACCAGGCUUCAUCGGUGAACCCCGUGGAUUCGUCUCCCAUCUGUGUGUCUCCACUCCGAGUUGCAGGCGUGGAGCCAUGGCCGCGCGCGGUGCGUCACGAGGCUUGUCACGCCAGCCAGCUGGGGAGAGAGGCGGAGGUGGAGUGGAAGUCGGCUGACAGUGACAGAGAAAGAAAUGCAGAUGGAGCCACCCAGAUGUCAAGACCGUCUUUGUCGAAAAAAAAAGAGUUAAGGCCGUGGCUUCACCCCAAGCUACUCGGUGGGUGGGGGGAAGGGGAGGGCGCUGGGGCUGUCGGUGAGGCCGUGGGGGGGAGGAGAGGGGGCGGGGGCAUGUCGCCGUCGGGGAGGCUGCCGGGCAUGUUGCCGCGGCUGAGGUACCGGCCCGCACCCAUCCUUGCCGGCCUCGGCGCUCGUGCUGCUGCUACACCGCCGAUGCUGAGCGCUGCUGCCUCGCUGUGCGCUGCUCCUAUCUGCUGCCUAUCUCUUCUCUCUUGCUAG
rnacentral:rRNA from 1 species